rnacentral:rRNA from 1 species
GACGAACGCUGGCGGCGUGCCUAAUACAUGCAAGUAGAACGCUGAAGGAGGAGCUUGCUUCUCUGGAUGAGUUGCGAACGGGUGAGUAACGCGUAGGUAACCUGCCUGGUAGCGGGGGAUAACUAUUGGAAACGAUAGCUAAUACCGCAUAAGAGUAGAUGUUGCAUGACAUUUACUUAAAAGGUGCAAUUGCAUCACUACCAGAUGGACCUGCGUUGUAUUAGCUAGUUGGUGAGGUAACGGCUCACCAAGGCAACGAUACAUAGCCGACCUGAGAGGGGUGUCGGCCCACCUGGGACUGGGACCCGGCCCAGGCUCCCACGGGAGGCAGCAGUAGGGAAUCUUCGGCCAUGGACGGAAGUCUGACCGGGCAACGCCGCGUGAGUGAAGAAGGUUUUCGGAUCGUAAAGCUCUGUUGUAAGGGAAGAACGAGUGUGAGAGUGGAAAGUUCACACUGUGACGGUAUCUUACCAGAAAGGGACGGCUAACUACCUG